GCAGUCGAGCGACAGAUAAGGAGCUUGCUCCUUUGACGUUAGCGGCGGACGGGUGAGUAACACGUGGGUAACCUACCUAUAAGACUGGAAUAACUCCGGGAAACCGGGGCUAAUGCCGGAUAACAUUUAGAACCGCAUGGUUCUAAAGUGAAAGAUGGUUUUGCUAUCACUUAUAGAUGGACCCGCGCCGUAUUAGCUAGUUGGUAAGGUAAUGGCUUACCAAGGCAACGAUACGUAGCCGACCUGAGAGGGUGAUCGGCCACACUGGAACUGAGACACGGUCCAGACUCCUACGGGAGGCAGCAGUAGGGAAUCUUCCGCAAUGGGCGAAAGCCUGACGGAGCAACGCCGCGUGAGUGAUGAAGGGUUUCGGCUCGUAAAACUCUGUUAUUAGGGAAGAACAAACGUGUAAGUAACUGUGCACGUCUUGACGGUACCUAAUCAGAAAGCCACGGCUAACUACGUGCCAGCAGCCGCGGUAAUACGUAGGUGGCAAGCGUUAUCCGGAAUUAUUGGGCGUAAAGCGCGCGUAGGCGGUUUCUUAAGUCUGAUGUGAAAGCCCACGGCUCAACCGUGGAGGGUCAUU
rnacentral:rRNA from 1 species